GUUACAGAUAUGUUUUGCUGCUAUUUGGUUCUCUAGGCUAUGAAAGGGUAUUGGUUGCUCUUCGAUACUGCUGGGAAACAAAUUGAUGCCGUACAUUUCAUUCAUGCCUUCCAGCUUACUGAAAGCUUUCCCCCUGUUCCCCUCUUGAAGACAUACUUCAAGAAUUGAAGGAGAAACUCUCAGGGAAAGGGUGUGAGUUCGGGUAGAGAUACUAGUGACAGAUUGAUGUAAAUGCACAGGAACCUGCUGCUUUGAAAGCUGUAGUUAGUUGUGUCCAAGAGUACAGGCUUGAACCUGACUAUCCUCUUGAUCCACUUCAGAGAAGGAUUGAACAAAUGGAGAGGUCGAAAUCUGAUAAGAAAAGGGGUGGAGAUUUUGGUAGAAGUCAAAACUUCAAGAAACAAAGAGCAAACUGAGGAUACCGUGGAUUUCUUUCUCACAGUGGCAAGGCAGCUCCUCGUAGGCUUGUUCUGCCUGUUUUCUGAUG